GCGGCAAGGGCCCCCACUUCUCUCAAAUAUAUGAAGCAUUUCAUGUUUAUUCUUCCCAGUAAACAUGGGGAAAAGAGUGUCUAGCUCCUUUUUAUGACGUUGUUUCCAAGCAAUAAAAUGCAUCAAAUGUGAAAUCAGAACAAUGUAUUUAUUAAAGAUUACAAAGAAAUGACAGGACAUCGUAUUACAAGAGACGGUUACAUAAAAUAAAAACAGUAAAAAUCGCUCUUCAUCUCGGUGAGGGACAGAUGUUGCGCUAGUGCGCUUGGCCUCGCGCAGCAGAGAGCGCUCCGGCCGCGCGCGCACUAGAAGAGCUGAUGCGCGAGCUCAUUCAAGAGAACAGUGAGCGCGUGAUUUAGAAUUAUCGUUAUUUUCCGUUAUCUUUUAACCGUUGGCCUUCUUCUAGACUUCACUGCAGCCGUUAACUCAGCCAGUCCAAGAUGUAUUCUAUAGUUGUUUUUACUGAAAAGAAUGAGACAGAGGUGAUACCAAGUGACUGGCUGAGCAUCGACAAAAAAAUUUCCUUUUGGCCCCCAUAUAAUAGUACAAAAUGUAGAAAAGCGGUUGAAAAAAAUGAAACUCCUGAUGAAGAAUGGAACGAAUAUAUAACUGAAUGGGUGGCUGAGUAUGAUUCCUAUGAAAAAGCCAGAAGAAAGCUGGUGAAGUUUUGUAAAGGCAACAGUUUGGAGUCUACAGAUGAGGACAGUGUACGGAAAAGAGUACCAUCAUCAAAAUAUGUAAAUGGAUUUACAUCAGGAAGACCUCCAGUGCAGGCCUCAACAAGCUGGCUCCACACAGAGACAAUGGAAAGACCAAAAAAAAAAAAACUUCUGCAGUAAUGGAGCCAAAAGACUGAAAUUGCCAGCCAUACCACCAUUUGCACCAUCAGCACCUGCUAUGACAGUCCCUGAACCAAGACAAGAUGAUGCAGCCAAAAAACAAGGAGCAAAAGUGGUGGAAGCCGAGGAAAAAAUAAAAACCUGGCUGAAGUAUAGUGGAGACCGAAAUGGAGGAAGAAAAAAAAGAGCGACAGAAAAAGAAAAGCAGAAGCCUCAAGCAGAUUCCAGCAGCUGUGAAAGUGAAUGAGUAUGCUGCUACUUCUCCUCCGCUCCGUCUAAAUCAUCAGAGCCACACACAAUCUCUAAUUUGCUUCAAAAAACUCUGCAGAAUCCGGAAGAGAGUCUGCACAUUUUCUCAUUAAACUGCAAUAAGUUAAUUUUGUUACCAAUAAAUUCAUUUUUAUAACCAA